UAUCGGCCACAUUGGGACUGAGACACGGCCCAAACUCCUACGGGAGGCAGCAGUAGGGAAUCUUCCACAAUGGACGCAAGUCUGAUGGAGCAACGCCGCGUGAGUGAAGAAGGGUUUCGGCUCGUAAAGCUCUGUUGGUAGUGAAGAAAGAUAGAGGUAGUAACUGGCCUUUAUUUGACGGUAAUUACCUAGAAAGUCACGGCUAACUACGUGCCAGCAGCCGCGGUAAUACGUAGGUGGCAAGCGUUGUCCGGAUUUAUUGGGCGUAAAGCGAGUGCAGGCGGUUCAAUAAGUCUGAUGUGAAAGCCUUCGGCUCAACCGGAGAAUUGCAUCAGAAACUGUUGAACUUGAGUGCAGAAGAGGAGAGUGGAACUCCAUGUGUAGCGGUGGAAUGCGUAGAUAUAUGGAAGAACACCAGUGGCGAAGGCGGCUCUCUGGUCUGCAACUGACGCUGAGGCUCGAAAGCAUGGGUAGCGAACAGGAUUAGAUACCCUGGUAGUCCAUGCCGUAAACGAUGAGUGCUAAGUGUUGGGAGGUUUCCGCCUCUCAGUGCUGC
rnacentral:rRNA from 1 species